rnacentral:rRNA from 1 species
UACAGAGGGUGCAAGCGUUAAUCGGAUUUACUGGGCGAAAAGCGCGCGUAGGUGGCCAAUUAAGUCAAAUGUGAAAUCCCCGAGCUUAACUUGGGAAUUGCAUUCGAUACAGGUUGGCUAGAGUAUGGGAGAGGAUGGUAGAAUUCCAGGUGUAGCGGUGAAAUGCGUAGAGAUCUGGAGGAAUACCGAUGGCGAAGGCAGCCAUCUGGCCUAAUACUGACACUGAGGUGCGAAAGCAUGGGGAGCAAACAGG